rnacentral:rRNA from 1 species
UACGUAGGGGGCAAGCGUUAUCCGGAUUUACUGGGUGUAAAGGGGGCGCAGACGGCAAUGCAAGCCAGGAGUGAAAGCCCGGGGCCCAACCCCGGGACUGCUUUGGAAACUGUAUAACUGGAGUGCAGGAGAGGUAAGUGGAAUUCCUAGUGUAGCGGUGAAAUGCGUAGAUAUUAGGAGGAACACCAGUGGCGAAGGCGGCUUACUGGACUGUAACUGACGUUGAGGCUCGAAAGCGUGGGGAGCAAACAGG